AUUGAACGCUGGCGGCAUGCCUUACACAUGCAAGUCGAACGGUAACAGGUUAAGCUGACGAGUGGCGAACGGGCGAGUAAUGUAUCGGAACGUGCCCAGUCGCGGGGGAUAACUGCUCGAAAGAGCAGCUAAUACCGCAUACGACCUGAGGGUGAAAGCGGGGGAUCGCAAGACCUCGCGCGAUUGGAGCGGCCGAUAUCAGAUUAGGUAGUUGGUGAGGUAAAGGCUCACCAAGCCGACGAUCUGUAGCUGGUCUGAGAGGACGACCAGCCACACUGGGACUGAGACACGGCCCAGACUCCUACGGGAGGCAGCAGUGGGGAAUUUUGGACAAUGGGCGCAAGCCUGAUCGAGCCAUGCCGCGUGAGGGAAGAAGGCCUUCGGGUUGUAAACCGCUUUUGUCAGGGAAGAAAAAGUUCUGGCUAAUACCUGGGACUCAUGACGGUACCUGAAGAAUAAGCACCGGCUAACUACGUG
rnacentral:rRNA from 1 species